rnacentral:rRNA from 1 species
AUGCAAGUCGAACGAGAGAAUUGCUAGCUUGCUAAUAAUUCUCUAGUGGCGCACGGGUGAGUAACACGUGAGUAACCUGCCCCCGAGAGCGGGAUAGCCCUGGGAAACUGGGAUUAAUACCGCAUAGUAUCGAAAGAUUAAAGCAGCAAUGCGCUUGGGGAUGGGCUCGCGGCCUAUUAGUUAGUUGGUGAGGUAACGGCUCACCAAGGCGAUGACGGGUAGCCGGUCUGAGAGGAAGGUCCCCACAUUGGAACUGAGACACGGUCCAAACUCC